rnacentral:rRNA from 1 species
GCUCAUUAUAACAGCUAAAAUUUACUUGAUUUUGACUUUUAUCCUACAUGGAUAACUGUGGUAAUUCUGGAGCUAAUACAUGCAUAAAAGAUAUAACAUUUUUAUGUUAUAUUGCGUAUAUUAGUAUUAAAACCAAGCAUUCUUCGGAAUGUUUUGUGUUGAAACUGAAUAUAUCAUGCUGAUCGUAUGGUCUUGUACCGACGACAUGUCAUUCAAGUGUCUGAUCUAUCAACUUUCUAUAUAAGUAUAUAGUACUUAUAUGGUUUUGACGGAUAACGGGGUAUUAGGGUACGACUCCGGAGAAAAUGCCUGAGAAACGGCGUUUACAUCCAAGGAAGGCAGCAGGCGCGAAAAUUACCCACUCUCAGUACGAGGAGGUAGUGACGAGAAAUGACAAGAUCUAUUCCUUCGGGGAUGGAUCAUUGGAAUGGUUUGAUUUUAAAAUCAUUAAAGAGUAUCAAUGAGAGGGCAAGUCUGGUGCCAGCAGCCGCGGUAAUUCCAGCUCUCAUACUGCAUUGAAUUGUUGUUGCGGUUAAAAAGCUCGUAGUUGGAUCUGUACAUGAUAGGUUAGUUCAUCCUUUGGAUUGUAACU